CACGUAGGGCGCGAGCGUUGUCCGGAAUUAUUGGGCGUAAAGCGUGCGCAGGCGGUUGUGCAAGACAGAUGUGAAAUCCCCGGGCUUAACCUGGGAACUGCAUUUGUGACUGCAUGGCUAGAGUGUGUCAGAGGGGGGUAGAAUUCCACGUGUAGCAGUGAAAUGCGUAGAUAUGUGGAGGAAUACCGAUGGCGAAGGCAGCCCCCUGGGAUAACACUGACGCUCAUGCACGAAAGCGUGGGGAGCAAACAGG
rnacentral:rRNA from 1 species